rnacentral:rRNA from 1 species
UGCCAGCCGCCGCGGUAAUACGGAGGGGGUUAGCGUUGUUCGGAAUUACUGGGCGUAAAGCGUACGUAGGCGGAUUAGUAAGUCGACUGUUAAAUCGUAGAGCUCAACUCUAUAUCGGCAGUCGAAACUACUUCGCUUGAGUGUGGUAGGGGCAGAGGGAAUUCCCGGUGUAGCGGUGAAAUGCGUAGAUAUCGGGAAGAACACCAACGGCGAAAGCACUCUGCUGGGCCAACACUGACACUGAGAGACGAAAGCUAGGGUAGCCAAUGGGAUUAGAUA